rnacentral:rRNA from 1 species
AUGGUAGGUACUUUAUGGUUUCUUUUACCCUUAGGCGGCCGCUGUAGGGCACUAGCUGAGCUUGUGCCCCAGAUUGUUUGCAACACAGUUAAGCAGCAUGAGUCCAGGAACUGGGACUUGAGAGUGAGCAAUAUACUACUAUGUAGAAUUCUGCUGCGGCUGCAAGGCAAAAACAUUCCCUGUGCACAAGGACAAGUGUGCCUGUAUCAUCAUAUUGGAAGCAUGCGUUUGUUUAUUAAUAACCUCGCCAUGGAAACCGGUAAGCAGCAGGUGAGCAGGUUUCUUGUGCUCCAUGAAAUGAAUCUGGUCUGA